UCGAUGGCAUAUUGAGAGUUUUGCCUUCAAUUUCCGUUUUUAAAGCAGAUCGUGAAAAUAUCCCUCCAUUUGAUUCUCUUCCUGCUGCGCCCACUUCUAAAUAUAUAAAACAGUAAUUGCUGUCUACCAAUGCUAACAUUAUCGUACUAAAAUAGCCUUUAUACCCAUAUAGCCACGGUUGCUUGGACAUUUUAUAUUUACAUGCUUGCCGUCUAUGACUCCCACACAUCCAGGAAAAUUCCAUCAAGUUGCAAAACCAUGUUCUAUUUCUUUCCACUCCAGUUGUGUAGCAGGAAUUCCAAGAAUUACAGAUUACUCAAGAUGAGAAAAUAGAUGGUGAUGAUACUGCUGAUUCGGAUCACAGCGAAAUUGUGGAAGAAACAACUGAAAGCUCGUUUCAGGUACCUUCAGCGUCUUUUGCAAAGAUAGCAAAAACGAGGAACAAAUCUGCACCUUCUAAAAAGCAGAAAGCGAUUCUAUUACAGCUGCGGUUACUACUCUCCAAGACAUUUCAAACAAAGCUGAACAUUUACACGAAAAUGCCGAUGAGUUUGAAGCAUUUGGAAAAAUUGUUGCUGCACAUUUGAGACGUCUUUCACUAUAUGAUGCCUUACAAAGUCAAGAAGAUAUAAUGAAAUAUUUGGUACAAAAAAGGUUAGGACGGUAUGCUUCUUUUUGCACAAACACGUUUACAUAUCAGCAGAAUCAAUCACCCGUAAUACCACCAUACCCUUAACCAACAGGUUCCAGUUCGGAUUCAGCAAGUGUUAACUUUCAGGAACAAACUAGUACUAUAUUGAGAUCACAAAUGGAACAUUUCAUCACUGAACAUGAAAUCGCUAAUUUAUUAAGCCAAGCUUGGAACAAUACCUAAAUACAGUUUUGUUAUUACUUUUUGAUUCUUAUGUUAGUAGCACCUACCUAGUUAGAAAAUUAGAAAUAAAGAAUAUCUUACCUUGA